rnacentral:rRNA from 1 species
GGACUACAAGGGUAUCUAAUCCUGUUUGCUCCCCACGCUUUCGCGUCUCAGCGUCAGUAUCUGUCCAGAAGGCCGCCUUCGCCACUGGUGUUCUUCCCGAUAUCUACGAAUUUCACCUCUACACCGGGAGUUCCGCCUUCCUCUCCAGUACUCAAGCAAAGUAGUUUCGGGCGCACUUCCUAGGUUAAGCCUAGGGCUUUCACACCCGACAUGCUCUGCCGCCUACACGCGCUUUACGCCCAAUAAUUCCGAACAACGCUUGCACCCUCUGUAUUACCGCGGCUGCUGGCAC